rnacentral:rRNA from 1 species
AUUGAACGCUGGCGGCAUGCCUUACACAUGCAAGUCGAACGGUAGAGGGGGCAACCCCUCGAGAGUGGCGAACGGGUGAGUAAUAUAUCGGAACGUGCCCAGUCGUGGGGGAUAACGUAGCGAAAGUUACGCUAAUACCGCAUACGAUCUAAGGAUGAAAGCGGGGGAUCGCAAGACCUCGCGCGAUUGGAGCGGCCGAUAUCAGAUUAGGUAGUUGGUGGGGUAAAGGCUCACCAAGCCAACGAUCUGUAGCUGGUCUGAGAGGACGACCAGCCACACGGGAACUGAGACACGGUCCAGACUCCUACGGGAGGCAGCAGUGGGGAAUUUUGGACAAUGGACGCAAGUCUGGUCCAGCCAUUCCGCGUGCAGGAUGAAGGCCCUCGGGUUGUAAACUGCUUUUGUACGGAACGAAAAGGUCUCUCUUAAUACGGGGGGCUCAUGACGGUACCGUAAGAAUAAGCACCGGCUAACUACGUGCCAGCCGCCGCCGUAA